rnacentral:lncRNA from 1 species
AGACCUGGGCAGGCAGGCGCGGGUGAGCAUCCUCUGAGAGCUUGGGUCUUGCGUAUGUGGAAGGUCAGAGACCCCUCUACCCUAGUUUCCACUUCUUGGUGUCAUGAAGACCACUGGUCUUCACGUCCGCUCCCACCCUACAGGCCGCCAGGGAGACCAGUGCCGCCCACCAUGCGAUUUCGACGCUUGACCCCUGGUUACUUCCGGGUGUUACAGAUGCAGGUAGCUGGUGAGCUGAAGGCAGAGCCCCGGAGUCUGCUGGCAGGAGUUGUGGCUACAGUGCUAGCUGUCCUCGGCCUGGGUGGCUCCUGCUAUGCCGUCUGGAAGAUGGUGGGGCAGCGGCGGGUGCCACGGGCCCCGUAACGAAGAAGAGAGACUCUCACUUGGAUGCUGGGGGGCUCGACGCUCAGCUGCUUCAGCCUGGGAGAAAGAAAAACAGGAGUUGGGAGCUGACCAGGUGAGAGCCCUAUCUGCUGAGCACCCAUCCAUCAAUCCUCUCCUUA